rnacentral:tRNA from 1 species
GCUGGUGUAGUUCAGUGGUUAGAACAUUGGCCUUUGAACCCAAGGGUUGGGUUCAAUUCCGGAUGCCAGUC